rnacentral:misc_RNA from 1 species
AGUGCUGUAGCUGGAGCUGAACAGGUCCCAGUGAUGGGUGCUAGUGCAACAUCUCUGCCUGAUUUAUUGAAAAACAUUGCAGUGAAUCCAACAAUGUUGAUCAGUAUACUCAAAAUGGGACAACAGCAGAGAUUAGCAAUAGAGGCACAGCAGAAGCCUGUUGAUCUUGCUAAAAGUACAACACAUCCACCGAACACAAAUUCUAUACUGGGAGCUCUACCUGUGGUUAAUGUUGCUCCCCCACAGUCCACAGGGAUUUUGCCAAGACCAGCAGGGGCACUUCAGGUUCCUCAAUUGGCUGCUUCGGAUGAGAUGGGAAAAAUUCGUAUGAAACCACGGGAUCCUCGUCGUGUUCUUCAUAAUAAUACACUCCAAAGGAAUGGGAGCUUGGGGUCUGAACAGUUCAAAACAAAUUUAAUCUCUACAUCAACCAGCCAAGGUACCAAGGAAAAUCAGAAUGUGCAAAAUCAAGAGGGUCAAGUGGAAAUGAAACCAG